rnacentral:rRNA from 1 species
UCCCAGCGCCACAAGUGGCCAUCAUAUUUAUUGGGUCUAAAGCGUCCGUAGCAGGUUUUGUAAAUCUUCUGUGAAAUCGUUGCGCUCAACGUAACGGCGCGCAGGAGACACUGCAUCACUAGGGACCGGGAGGCGUUGAGGGUAUUCCAGGGGGAGCGGUAAAAUGUUAUAAUCCCUGGAGGACCACCUGUGGCGAAGGCGCUCAACGAGAACGGAUCCGACUGUGAGGGACGAAAGCCAGGGGAGCAAUCCGG